UUUAUCUAUAGUCAUCAUUUUAUCAACAACAGACAUUUAAAAAAAAAUAAAAAAUAAGUAAAACAAUCGCUAAAAUGUCCAAUGGACAGGCCGGCUGUUGAUUUGUUAUCCAGCGUGUCACAGUCGACAAGUCAUGUAUAUCUAUUUGAGUAAGAAGAUCGCCGUCUCAAACAGCAUCAAGAUCUAUUGCCUGGCAUGGAGCAGCGCCCAAGGAUGGAUCGCAGUCGGAGGAGACGAGGGUCUUCUCAAAGUGCUCAAACUAGACGCAGCAAGUUCAAAAGGGGUUGCCAAUCCUGCAGUACUAGCCAUGAAUCAAACUCUUGGAGGUCACAAGGGUAGAGUGCAAGUAAUAACUUGGAAUGAGAAACACGAAAAACUGACAACCAGUGAUCAAAAUGGUCUGAUAAUAGUUUGGACAUUGUACAAAGGUAUUUGGCAUGAAGAAAUGAUAAACAAUAGGAACCAGUCAGUUGUCAGAGGCAUGGCUUGGGACUCAGAAGGGCAAAAAAUAUGCAUUGUUUAUGAAGAUGGAGCUGUAAUUGUUGGAUCCGUGGAUGGUAACAGAAUAUUUGGUAUUGAACUUAAAGGAGUUCCCUUAUCUGGUGUACAAUGGUCGCCAGAUGGAAAACUCUUGGUUUUCUGCUUAAAAUCUGGCGAAGUCCAUGUUUAUGAUAACCAGGGGAACUUCACGAUGAAAGUGCACAUUCAGUGUUUCCCUUCGACGCUAGUCAUGAAUGGAGUGCCGAUCGUAGGCAUGACUUGGUACGAUGGACGGAAUGGUUUCGUUGAAAAAGACUGCCCUUGUUUUGCCAUAGUUUAUCAGACAGGCCACAUACAAAUUAUGCGCCACCAGAACGAUGAAAAUCCAGUUAUUGUUGAUUCAAGAGUCAACGCAGUACAUUGCAGUUGGAACCAUAACGGUACACUUCUUGCAGUUGUCGGUUCUGCAAUACUACCUGAAGACAAUAAAGAGUCAAAUGUAGUUCAGUUUAUUUCUCUAUAUGGAGAACAUGUAAGAACAAUGAAAAUACCAGGAAGAUCAAUUACCGCCUGCCAGUGGGAAGGGACUUCAUUAAGAUUGGCUUUUGCCGUCGAUUCAUUUGUUUAUUUUGCAAUUUUAAGACCCGAUUAUAAGUGGGGAUAUUUUUCAAAUACUUUGGUUUUCUCAUAUCCUGGACAAACAGGGACAAACGUUACUUUUUGGGAUACAAAUAGCUCUGAGAUUCACAACAAAGUAGUGCCUGCUUUGUACGGAAUAGCUGCGUAUAAAGAGUACUGCGUACUGGCUACUAAGGACACGACAAACAGACAAUAUGGACUUCUUGUUUGUAAUGCAAUUUCAACACCUGUUGAUCGAAAAUAUACUGACGUCGAGCCACUUUUUAUUGCUCUGAAUUCAACACAUGUCUUUGCCGCUUCUAAAGAUCAUUUUUUGAUUUGGCACUUUAUGACACCUAAAAGUCAUUCUACUUUGGGAAUCGCUGGGAACAAACAAAGAAAGGAAAGACUCUACCAUGUCGACGACACUCCUUCUGGAGUCGCUGAAGUCAUUCAAGAUCUCGAUAAAUCAUAUCAGCCAAACACAAAUAUGCAGGCGACCGGGGAUCCGAUAUGUUGCAUGGCUGCUUCUGAUAAAGUUCUUGUGAUUGGAAGAGAAUCUGGUGCUUUACAGAGAUAUUCGCUACCGCAAGUAGCUCUUGUACAAAGAUAUGGACUUUCUUCUAAACCCCAACGUUUAGCUAUUAACUCAAAUUCGACGCGUUUGUCAAUAAUUGACAAUACAGGAAUAAUGACACUUGUGGAUCCAGAGGGUGGUGGUGGUGAUACGGGAAGAUUUGAGAGAAGGGAUGUUUGGGACAUGUUGUGGGCAAGUGACAAUCCAGAUCUGAUCGCUAUUAUGGAAAAGACCAGAAUGUACGUUAUCCGCGGAAACGAACCAGAAGAGCCGAUAAACUGCUCUGGAUAUGUUUGCACCUUUCAGGACUUGGUAAUACGGACAAUUUUGCUUGAUGAUAUAAUGGCUCAUCAAGAUGCUCUCAACCCUGAGGAACAUAUUAUAGAUCUAGAGGUUAAAUCGCUCAGGGAUACGAGACAACUUUUGGAAAAAGUCGGCAUUGCAGAAGCUACUAGUUUUAUAGAAGAAAAUCCUCACCCAAGAUUAUGGCGUUUAUUAGCAGAAGCAGCUGUCAAAAAAUUGGACUUAAAAACAGCAGAGGCUGCUUUUGUCCGUUGCAGUGAUUAUCCCGGCAUCCAGCUUAUUAAGAGGCUUUCAAAUGUAACGAACGAUCAGAUUAAAAGAGCCCAGGUAGCUGCAUAUUUCGGGGAUUUUAAUGAAGCGGAAAAAUUAUAUCUUGACAUCGACAGAAGGGAUUUGGCUAUAGCGCUCAGAGAGAGGCUUGGCGACUGGUUCAGAGUAAUUCAACUUAUGAAACUAGGUACAGGAGGAACAGAUUCACAAUUACAGACCGCUUGGAAUUCAAUAGGAGAUUAUUUUGCAGACAGAGGCAAUUGGGAAAAUGCAAAAGAAUAUUAUGAAAAGGCUCGCAACACGGAACGCCUAAUGAUGUGUUGCCAGCACUUAGAGGAUUAUGAAUCACUUGAAAAAAUAGUUUCCACUUUGCCCGACAAACAUUCGCUUCUAAAGGAAAUCGGCGAGAUAUUCGUCUCUGUAGGGAUGUGCUCUCAGGCCGUGGCUACAUUUGUUAAAGCCGGCAUGAUUCAGACAGCGGUACAGUCGUGUGUUAGUUUGAACCAGUGGGAUCAAGCUGUGGCGCUUGCAGAAACGUACAACAUGCUUCCGCAAAUUGCCAGUUUAUUGGAUAAAUAUGCGAGAUCUCUGACUGAAAACAAUCGUCAUCUUGAAGUCAUACAGCUGUACAGAAAGGCCAAUCGUUAUCUAGAUGCGGCAAAGAUCAUGUUUCAACUUGCUGAAAAAGAAUCUGUGAAAUGUUUUAAACCAGUGAGAAUUAAAAGGCUUUAUGUCCUUGCAGCAUUGCUGGUAGAAGAAUAUACUGCACUGAAAAAUAAAGAUUCUGAAGACAAAAGUGGACUUUUGUUAGAAAAUUAUGAUGAACUUAGUGGCAUUGAUUUGAAAAUGAUUGAUGAUGCAUGGAAGGGUGCAGAAGCCUACCAUUACUUAAUGUUAGCACAGAAGCAGCUUUACGAAGGACACCAUAUAGAUGCAACAAUUACUAGCAUACACCUGAAAUCGUACGAAGCGUUUAUUCCUUCUGAAGAAAUAUAUUGUUUAAUCGCUUUAGCAAGUUGUAAUUCAAAAGCCUUUGGAACAGCUUCUAAAGCAUUCAUGAAGUUGGAAAGCAUGGAAAGUUUUAAUGAAGUUAAGCGUGAACAAUAUGCCAAUUUGGCUAUGGAUAUAUUCACAAAACAUUCUCCAAAAGACCCAAAAAGUAUAUUUAUGCAAUGCCCUUCUUGCAGUUCCCCGUUACCUUCAUGGUCUGGUGUUUGCCAAGGGUGCGAGACAAGGUAUCCAGUGUGCAUCGUUACUGGCCGGCCGCUUUUAAAUUUGACCUCAGCUUGGACUUGUAAAUCCUGUAAACACAGCGCUGGAUAUAGCGAUAUCGGAGUUCGCCAGUUUUGCCCGCUUUGUCACGCCUCAGCUCGCAUUUAAUCGUUUAAAAGGAAAUCGGCCAAAGUAAAUUGAAAUUUCACUGAAGUUGAAAGCACUUUGUCGAUAACAUUGUAUUCACUAUCAGGCUUCAGUGUGCUCUAUGUAGAAGGAAAUAUAAUAGAAGUACAAAUUUUUAAAAAUAUGGUGUGUCAGCAAGAUUGCAUACGUGUUACAAUAAUUAUUUUCUUUUUGUUUAUUUCAAUAAAAGUAUUUAAGAUUUAA
rnacentral:misc_RNA from 1 species